rnacentral:rRNA from 1 species
UACGUAGGGGGCGAGCGUUGUCCGAAGUUACUGGGCGUAAAGCGCGCGUAGGCGGCUAAUUAAGUCUGAGGUGAAAGGUUCAACGCUCAACGUGAACAGUGCCUUGGAUACUGGUUGGCUUGAGUGUGGCAGAGGAGCAUGGAAUUCCUGGUGUAGCGGUGAAAUGCGUAGAUAUCGAGAGGAACACCUGCGGCGAAGGCGGGUUGCUGGGCUGACACUGACGCUGAUGCGCGAAAGCCAGGGAGCGAACGGG